UCCUGCCUAUGGUGUCCUUUUUUCUGUGUUUCUGUAUUCUGUAUAGAAGUGUGACGUUUGUAGAGUCUGGCGUCGAAAUUUUCUGUUCUGCACUCAGUCUCUGGGCCUUUGUGAUGCUGUGCCUCACAAAUUCUUAGAAUAUUUCACGUCAUUAGUUGGUUGUUUGCAAAAGUGAUUAAGUAAUUAACAUUUCAAAAGACACAAUCUAAUAGCAAAGUGAUAAUAACAAUAAUAAUGAAUAUUUAAUUAAAUGUUGUCGUAUGCAUGGCCGAAGCAUCGCAUAAAUACGCAUUCUACGAGCAGGCGGUAGACAGAUGAACUCUUGUUCGCAAAAAAAGUCCUUUCGUGAUGCAAAUUACGUUGGAACUCAGCCGGACCAGGUGACGAAUACGCCAGCAAUGCCUGGGUUCACGUCAGUUAAUUUAUAAUAUUUUAAUUAUAAUUGAAUCGAGAUAAUUGUACUACUGUGGAACGAGCCGAAAGUGCCGCCUUUUUGAUGAAACUUUGCAAACAUAUGUUGAUGCGCGCCCAUUUGCAAACAUGUCAGCCAUUGUCCUUGCGUCAGGCGUCAGCCGUCUGUGUGACAGUUACACGAGAUUAUUGGGCAUUAUCCGCCUACUAAUUGCAGACUGCCGGGUUUACUCAGAGGCCAUGUAAUUCAACUCAGAUCCGGAACACACUCGUGGUGGGGGCGGUAACGAUGAAAACAGCCCGGGAUUAUCUCACAUGCCCAAACAUGCCAUCAAUGGGUCUAUUAUUCAUGCAAAGCAGAGCGUACAAAUGUUUGCAUUCAGGAAGGGUGACGACUUUAGUCCUGUCUCCCGCCCAGAACCCAUCUAUCGCCCCAACGGUCGACAAAAGUCAAUGCUACACGGAUAAGUUUGCCGAAACCCCAUGGCCCAAGGACGAAGGAAUAGCGCGA